rnacentral:rRNA from 1 species
AGGACAAACGCUGGCGGGGUGCGUGAGACAUGCAAGUCGAACGGGGUUCCAUCGGGCUUGCUCGUUGGAACCUAGUGGCGGACGGCUGAGUAACGCGUAGGUGACCUGCCCGGAAGUGGGGAAUAACUGCCCGAAAGGGUGGCUAAUACCGCAUGUGGUCGGCGAUUCGCUUCGCCGCCCAAAGCCGCAAGGCGCUUCCGGAGGGGCCUGCGUCCGAUUAGCUAGUUGGUGAGGUAACGGCCCACCAAGGCGACGAUCGGUAGCUGGUCUGAGAGGAUGAUCAGCCAGACUGGGACUGAGAACGGCCCAGACUCCUACGGGAGGCAGCAGUCGGGAAUUUUGCCCAAUGGACGAAAGUCUGAGGCAGCAACUCCGCGUGAGGGACGAAGGCCUUCGGGUCGUAAACCUCUUUUCUCAGGGAGAUACAAGACGGUACCUGAGGAAUAAGCCACGGCUAACUACGUGCCAGCAGCCGC